rnacentral:lncRNA from 1 species
UAAAUAAUAACAUAAUAAAAAUAAUUCAAAUGUAUAUACUUGAAAUAAACUUCAACAAAAAAAAUAUAAUUUGCGUAGUACUAUACCCAUACUAAUAAAGCACUACUAUUUCAAGAAGUUCACAAGCAAUGAACUUUACAAAACCGAAUGUAUUUCAUCAAAUAAUAAUAAAUUGAAAAUUAAAUUUUGAACAUUAUUUAGGUCAAUAAAAAUUAUCUAGGCCAAAUUAAAUUUUGAACUUUGGGAAUCCUUGAGCAGUACCUUCUCCCCAACCAUGUAAGCAACAUCACAGACCUUCCUAUUGGCAUAACUCUUCUGUCUAGAGUGCACUAUGCGAAGCCGUUCCUGAAUCAUCUUAACCUUAUCCAAAGCAUCCCGGACCAAGUCAGUACCCAUUAGCCAACGCCUCUAAGUCAGAAUCCGGGCUAGAAACGACGCAUGCAUCCGUCGUCCGCUUGCCGACCGGCAGUAGGGGCCACAAUAUCAAUAACAAUAAACGUCACAAUUGUUCAAAAAGUAUGCAUCAUUCACGUCAAUAGGUCAAAUUGAUUUGUGGCCACAUUUUUAAUUGCAUCACUCGCAUUUUCCUGCACAUUCAAAAUGAAAUUAAAAAUUAGAAAAAAAAACCUAUAUAUAGUAUGCAUUGGUUAUAGCAACAUGUCUUACUAAUAACUAAUGAGGUUUAUUUCACUACUAAAACAUAACUAAGUCAAACACAAAAAAAGAGGUGCAAGCUAAGGAGAAGCAAAGUUGUGAAUUAAUAACUUGCUUACAUCCCAAAAUCACAGAAUGCUUUGCCUCGAUUUCGAUAUGAGCACAUGCAUAAUAAUAGUGAGAUUUGGAAAAGACAAGGAUUUCAACGUAUCCUACACUUGAAAGAGGUCAAAGAAUAUUCUAAUUCCCUUCAAAAGGUUUAGUACUUUGUGUAAGGGCAUAUUAUACCAAUUAUAUUCGUGAAAUAUAUUUUCCUUCCAUUCAUUCAUAACUCCUGUUAUUAUGUAAUGGAAUCAUCAAAAGCAAAUAGUUUAGAAAAACAUGGUCUUAUAAGUUUAGAGUGUGAAAUAUAAAUAUCUUUUCAAGACUCGGAGCAUGAGUUGAGCCAGAAGAAUGUGAUAGAUUUUGGCCACUCAUUCCUCGUACACUACUUGCAUCAACGGGUGAAGGAAGAUUAGAUCCGGCACACCCUUGUAUAUCAUGAAUAUUUAGUCCAGGGUUAUUUUGUACCAUUUGAACAAAAAAAUAUCGCAUUUCUUCUCUCAUUAUUUCCUUCAUUUCUUCCUUCAAAGAAGUUAUUUCAUUAGCAUGCUUUUGUUGAAGCUUGCUGAUUUCCUCAUCUUUUUUCAGAGAUCUUAUCGUCACCGAUCUACCAUAGCAUCUAACCGGACCAGGUUGCUCGUUUCCAAACACAAUCUUAAAUGCAUCAUCUGCUGUUUCUUGAAACUUUGACGAUUUUGAAGUUCAGACCGUUAAAAAGAAAUAUUACUGAAUAUCACUUAGUGGAUAUGCUAUAGAAAGUAAAAAAUAAUAACAUUUGAAUACAGAAAUGGAGCAGCUAUGCCGAAUAUUGUGUAGAAAUACAGUUGAAAAAUGCAAAAAUCCAGAAAGGCAGUGCAAAAAUAUAGAAGCACAUAGCAUACUGUGCUAGUGUGCUUAAUAGAACAAGUAAAGUUUCAACUGAACCUUUUGGAAUGUAAUACAUAUACUGAUUAGAGAAGUGGAAAUCAGUCUCCUUUGGUACCAGGUGACAGAUUUUCAGCUCCUCUGUGAUUUGAAAUUACCAUUACAUGACAGAAUUCUCAUAAUUUAUUGCUUAGUUAAUUCACUGCUUGUUACUUCUUUUCACAUCACUUAUUUUGCUAUUCUGGAAUCCGUAUGUAGCGAGUCCAUGCAUUAUAACUUCUGAUGGCUUUGUUGUAACCUAUGAAUGGUAAGAGACAUAACAACUUUAAGGAGUGUUUGAUUAUAGUAGUAUGACAUAUUUGUGGUAUAGAGGGAGUAAGUUUAUUUGGACUGACAAAAAGAAGAAACACGAACUAACCUAAUCCUUGAAAGAUUGAAUCGAUGUCUUGCCAAAAAUAGGAAAAUCUUGAUAAUACCAGUAGAUGACAGCUUAGUCAUGCUACGGAACUUAACUUCUUCCUCCUAGUAAAAUCUUUUUUCUUCUUCCACCUGAUAAAUAUAGAUAAUUUUCAGACAUGACCAACUUCAACUCAGUUCUGUACAAGUCCACACAUGUGAAUUGUGACCCCCACCUUCUAAAUGACCAUCCAAAAUAGCAGGAAUUCUCUUAACUUAAACACAAAUUUCACAUGUAGGUGUCAUAUGUGGAAGGGUAAAAAUUAGCUGAAGUAAUACUUACUUUGUCAAACACUAAUCACGUGGUAGAAAUUAUCUAAAAUAUGUUUUGACCAGAUCUGAUCAACUCUUUCUCGGCAACUUCACAGCCAACUUUCAGUAGCACAGAAAUAAAUCUCACAAUCUGCAAUUAAAAAGAAUAUCGAUAAGAACACAAAGAUAAAGGCUGACCUGAGAUUGUCAACUUAAUAAUUUAGCAAAGCUGCAAAGAUAAUUGGACAUAUAUGCUAAGAUUCUCUACUCAGCUUCUAUUUCACAUACUAAAAGCUGAUAAGAGAAGAUCAUAUUACGAAGUAUAUAACUUUGGAUAUCUUUUUGGCAUAACAUUAUUCAAAUAUAAAAUGAUCAAAUUGUAGAACAAUUGAAAGAUCAGCUCAUUGAAAUAGUAUAAUUUCUUAGUUUAAUUAUACGCCCUUAGUUGUAUAAAUAAGUAAAAAAAAAUGAUCUCAUGCUGCGUCUUCAAAAUCAAACUCAUCUUCUGAUAUCAAGGAAUAUUGAUUAAUACUCGAGCACAUAAAGGAGAAAAGCUCAUAGAAACAGAAAUACCUCUACGAAAUUUUAUAGUAUUAGAAAUUUAAUACGUCUAUCAAGUGAUUGCAAAUCAGAACAAACCAAAAGAAGAACUAAGGAAAUAGAAUUUUACACCCCAAGAAAACUCAAAUAUUAACUCUCAAACAAGAAUUCUGGUCAAGCGAUUUGCGUGUGACUAUCAUCUCUGACAAGGCUAUCCAAAAAUAGUUGACGAUUGAGUUUACUGGAGGUCGAACGGUGUUGUUGUUACAUAUUAUGUUACCUCAAAGUAUAGUGGAUAGCAGUUAAAGCUAGCUGCCUUAACUGAUUAGGGUAGGAAAACAAAACUUAGCAGAUGCCUCCCUUAAUCAUAAAAGAGUAAGAUAGCCCAUUUUGAGCUAAGAAGUUAUAAGAAUUGAGAACAAUACCAGUUUUGACUUAUGAGCUGUGAGAUUGUCAUAUUAGCUUAUAUAUAUGAUACUUUGAGUUUCACUACACUUACUUGAUAGCAUGCAUGUCUCUUUAAAAGUUAUUUUUGAGGGACCAGCCCCAAAAUAAAAUAUUAAUUCAAAGAAAGAAAAUAACAAGUUGCAAUGGCAACUUGUUUGCGAUAAGGGCGGCUAAAAUAAAGUUGCAAGUUGCAACAAGACCAAAACAGAAAUAAUUCUGGACGAUGCAAAUUGCAAAGAACAAAGCAUUUUUAUUGGUUGAAAGCUUG